GAUGAACGCUAGCUACAGGCUUAACACAUGCAAGUCGAGGGGCAGCAUUAGGUAGCAAUACUGAGAUGGCGACCGGCGCACGGGUGCGUAACGCGUAUCCAACCUUCCCGUUACUCAUGGAUAGCCUUCCGAAAGGGAGAUUAAUACAUGAUGGUGUUGAAAUUCCGCAUGUUAUUUCAACUAAAGAUUUAUCGGUAACGGAUGGGGAUGCGUGACAUUAGAUAGAUGGCGGGGUAACGGCCCACCAUGUCCACGAUGUCUAGGGGUUCUGAGAGGAAGGUCCCCCACACUGGAACUGAGACACGGUCCAGACUCCUACGGGAGGCAGCAGUGAGGAAUAUUGGUCAAUGGCCGGAAGGCUGAACCAGCCAAGUAGCGUGAAGGAUGUAGGUUCUAUGGAUUGUAAACUUCUUUCAUACGGGAAUAAAACCUCCCACGUGUGGGAGCUUGUAUGUACCGUAUGAAUAAGCAUCGGCUAACUCCGUGCCAGCAGCCGCGGUAAGAC
rnacentral:rRNA from 1 species